UUUGCUGACGAGUGGCGGACGGGUGAGUAAUGUCUGGGAAACUGCCUGAUGGAGGGGGAUAACUACUGGAAACGGUAGCUAAUACCGCAUAACGUCGCAAGACCAAAGAGGGGGACCUUCGGGCCUCUUGCCAUCGGAUGUGCCCAGAUGGGAUUAGCUAGUAGGUGGGGUAAAGGCUCACCUAGGCGACGAUCCCUAGCUGGUCUGAGAGGAUGACCAGCCACACUGGAACUGAGACACGGUCCAGACUCCUACGGGAGGCAGCAGUGGGGAAUAUUGCACAAUGGGCGCAAGCCUGAUGCAGCCAUGCCGCGUGUAUGAAGAAGGCCUUCGGGUUGUAAAGUACUUUCAGCGGGGAGGAAGGGAGUAAAGUUAAUACCUUUGCUCAUUGACGUUACCCGCAGAAGAAGCACCGGCUAACUCCGUGCCAGCAGCCGCGGUAAUACGGAGGGUGCAAGCGUUAAUCGGAAUUACUGGGCGUAAAGCGCACGCAGGCGGUUUGUUAAGUCAGAUGUGAAAU
rnacentral:rRNA from 1 species